GACGAACGCUGGCGGCGUGCUUAACACAUGCAAGUCGAACGGAAAGGCCCUGCUUUUGUGGGGUGCUCGAGUGGCGAACGGGUGGGUAACACGUGAGUAACCUGCCCUUGACUUUGGGAUAACUUCAGGAAACUGGGGCUAAUACCGGAUAGGAGCUCCUGCUGCAUGGUGGGGGGUGGAAAGGUUCGGCGGGUGGGGAUGGACUCGCGGCUUAUCAGCUUGUUGGUGGGGUAGUGGCUUACCAAGGCUUUGACGGGUAGCCGGCCUGAGAGGGUGACCGGCCACAUUGGGACUGAGAUACGGCCCAGACUCCUACGGGAGGCAGCAGUGGGGAAUAUUGCACAAUGGGCGGAAGCCUGAUGCAGCAACGCCGCGUGCGGGAUGACGGCCUUCGGGUUGUAAACCGCUUUCGCCUGUGACGAAGCGUGAGUGACGGUAAUGGGUAAAGAAGCACCGGCUAACUACGUG
rnacentral:rRNA from 1 species